AGAGCGAACGCUGGCGGCAGGCCUAACACAUGCAAGUCGAGCGCGUGUAGCAAUACACGAGCGGCAGACGGGAGAGUAACACGUGGGAACGCGCCCUUCGGUUCGGAAUAACUCAGGGAAACUUGAGCUAAUACCGGAUACGCCCUUACGGGGAAAGAUUUAUUGCCGAAGGAACGGCCCGCGUCCGAUUAGCUAGUUGGUGAGGUAACGGCUCACCAAGGCGACGAUCGGUAGCUGGUCUGAGAGGAUGACCAGCCUCACUGGGACUGAGACACGGCCCAGACUCCUACGGGAGGCAGCAGUGGGGAAUAUUGGACAAUGGGCGCAAGCCUGAUCCAGCCAUGCCGCGUGGAUGAUGAGGCCUUAGGGUUGUAAAGUCCUUUUAACGGGGAAGAUAAUGACGGUACCCGUAGAAUAAGCCCCGGCUAACUUCGUGCCAGCAGCCGC
rnacentral:rRNA from 1 species